UACGUAGGGGGCAAGCGUUGUCCGGAAUCAUUGGGCGUAAAGAGCGUGUAGGCGGCUCGGUAAGUUCGCUGUAAAAGUCAAAGGCUCAACCUUUGAAUGGUCAGUGGAUACUGCCGGGCUAGAGUCCGGAAGAGGCGAGUGGAACUCCUGGUGUAGCGGUGAAAUGCGUAGAUAUCUGGAGGAACACCGGUGGCGAAGGCGGCAUCCUGGACCAACACUGACGCUGAGGAGCGAAAGCCAGGGAGAGCAAACGGGG
rnacentral:rRNA from 1 species